rnacentral:rRNA from 1 species
GUCUGGUUGGAUACCGAGCCUCUGUAAAGCUCCUUCGACGAGUCGAGUAGUUUGGGAAUGCUGCUCUAAAUGGGAGGUAUAUGUCUUCUAAAGCUAAAUAUUGGCCAGAGACCGAUAGCGCACAAGUAGAGUGAUCGAAAGAUGAAAAGCACUUUGAAAAGAGGGUUAAAUAGUACGUGAAAUUGUUGAAAGGGAAGCGCUCAUGACCAGACUUGGGCCCGGUGAAUCAUCCAGCGUUCUCGCUGGUGCACUUUGCCGGGCUCAGGCCAGCAUCAGUUUGCUCCGGGGGAUAAAGGCUUUGGGAAUGUGGCUCCUCCGGGAGUGUUAUAGCCCUUUGCAUAAUACCCUGGGGCGGACUGAGGUUCGCGCAUCUGCAAGGAUGCUGGCGUAAUGGUCAUCAGCGACCCGUCUUGAAACACGGACCAAGGAGUCGUCUUCGUAUGCGAGUGUUCGGGUGUAAAACCCCUACGCGUAAUGAAAGUGAACGCAGGUGAGAGCUUCGGCGCAUCAUCGACCGAUCCUGAUGUUCUCGGAUGGAUUUGAGUAAGAGCAUACGGGGCCGGACCCGAAAGAAGGUGAACUAUGCCUGUAUAGGGUGAAGCCAGAGGAAACUCUGGUGGAGGCUCGCAGCGGUUCUGACGUGCAAAUCGAUCGUC